GAGGUGUCCUGUUUUCAGCAAUUAGAAAGUUGGCAGCCCUCCCUGUUUCGGCACUGAGCAUGUCACAGCUCUGUGCAGAUUGGGCCGCAAGUGGCCCAUGCAUUGAGAACCACUAGUUUAGAGAAUGACUGACAUUUUUCUUCUCUGAUUUAUUCUUGUUCAUUAAAAAGUUAGGUACAUUUUCAAAAACUCCUAGUGAUCUUAAUUGCCCAACUUAAGAUGCCUUAAAAAAAAACCUGAACACUAACUCUCUGAAAGUCAGACCCCUGUAAGGUAUGUCCAGUUGAACACCCAAAAUCAUGAGUCACCCUGGAAAAUGUGGACCUAUAUGUAUACACCUGAGAGAAAAAGCAGUUUGAGUGUAGAUGUCAGGUAUGUUGCACAGAACAGCCAAACAUCUGAACAGCCAAAUGUGUUGCGGGUGUCAUACCUGCCCAACAACCUGGCCAAUUUUCAAGUAGCUUAUUUGAAGAUCAGGAAUUUCACCCUAGUACCCAGCAUAUAGGAAACCUGAAUAUAUGGUAGGCCUAGUAAACUUCAUAAUGGCAUAAAGUAUGCUUGUGUAAAUAGAACAUUUCAUGGUCUAAGUGGAAAUCUGUUUUCAUUGUUGUUCCAGUGAGUCUUUACCAUUCCACCCCUUUGUGGCAUUUUGUGGUCAAGCAGACAUUCAGCCUCAUUUUUCCAGCCAGUCUUCUGAUGGUCUGUCCAGCCUGCAGUGCCUUCUGAGUUGCAGAAAUGACUACUACAUCUGCUGUCUCUGCCUGUCAUUUCCAACUAAGCAGGACUCCUUUUUAAGCUCCUUAGCCCCUUCCUGCCUUGCGUGGAAGAGUGUGCGCCCCAUUACAUUAGUCAUAAUUAGUCCAAUCUCUCAUGGUUCUGUCACUGAUCUACUGAGCUACUGUCUUGCCCCACAGAAGUGGUCUUCUUAGGUCUUGGUUAGUUAAAGGUCAUAGAUAAGUUGAUAUGAGAUUCAUUUUUACAUGUGCCAGCCAUCAUCUAUUUAUAGUGUGGUAGCACCCCGUAUGUUCUAGUCCUGUGUAGACACACAGGAAGACAGUCACUGUCCCCAAGAAAGAAAACAAAGAUGUGUGAAAAUCAAUGACGUUUAAGCAAAGUGAUAAGGGUGAUGGUUCACACACAGCUUGUGGCUCUUUUUAUGGGUGUAUUUUGAUUCUAGAAAGUUUUUAGGACUUACCAGGGGUGCAGUCCCUGUAUCAAGUGUUCAGCUGAUCCAUCUUUUUUUCUUUUUUUUUU